UACGUAGGUGGCAAGCGUUGUCCGGAUUUAUUGGGUUUAAAGGGUGCGUAGGCGGCUUUAUAAGUCAGUGCUGAAAUAUCCCGGCUUAACCGGGAGGGUGGCAUUGAUACUGCAGAGCUUGAGUGAAGUCGAGGUAGGCGGAAUUGACGGUGUAGCGGUGAAAUGCUUAGAUAUCGUCAAGAACACCGAUAGUGAAGACAGCUUACUAGACUUCAACUGACGCUGAGGCACGAAAAGUGUGGGGGAUCAAACAGG
rnacentral:rRNA from 1 species